GACGAACGCUGGCGGCGUGCUUAACACAUGCAAGUCGAACGGUGAAGCGCCUUCCUUUUUGGUGGGUGUGGAUGAGUGGCGAACGGGUGAGUAACACGUGAGUAACCUGCCCCCUUCUUCUGGAUAACCGCAUGAAAGUGUGGCUAAUACGGGAUAUUCUGGGUCUGUCGCAUGAUGGGUCUGGGAAAGAUAUUGUUUCGGUGGGGGAUGGGCUCGCGGCCUAUCAGCUUGUUGGUGGGGUGAUGGCCUACCAAGGCGGUGACGGGUAGCCGGCCUGAGAGGGGGGGCGGGGCCACGGGGGAGGGGGACCGGGCCCAGCCCCCACGGGGGGGGGGGGGGGGGGAAUGUUGACAAAGGGGCGCAAGCCUGAUGCCGGGACGCCGGGGGGGGGAGGGGGGCCUUUGGGUGUGGAACCUUUUUCGCCAGGGAAGCGGGCCGGCCUCUUUUUGGGGGGGUUUGACGGUAGUGGUAAAAGAAGCCCCGGCAAACUCCGU
rnacentral:rRNA from 1 species